GUUUGUUUUGUUCAUGUGUGGAGAGGUGGUUGCAGUCAGUGAUGAUUUUACAACACGCUGUCUCCUGCUGUUUAAAAUAUUUAGGCUGGGAUGAAAUGUUUUCUAAUAAUUAGUGAUUUUUGUGUUUGUUUAUUACCUGCACGGAGUUCCGUGAAAAGGAAAGCAUCCCUUUUCUGUGUUGAAUUUCACACACAGAGCGGAGCGCGUCAGUCGCAGCUACAGACAAGUCGAGCUUUUCAAUGAGAUGAUUUACUGAGAAACAAACGCGUUGAAGCUCCAGCAGAGCUCUGCGCGAUUCUGAAAGACCAAAGUAAAGUUACUCCUUGCAAAGCAUGUUGUUUGUGUUCUUUCUUUAUCACACCAGAAGCAGUGAUGAAUAUAUUUGAAUGGGAAGGCUACAGUUAAAAAUAAAUAUUAGUAAAUAAUAUGAAAAGAGGAUUCCGCUACUCCAGUCUGAAACUCAAACCAGUGAAGAUGGACGCGUCAGUGUGUCCGUGUCGCUCUUUCAAGACGAGCUCGCCUCUACCAUCGAGCACGCAGUGAAAGCGGCUCUACACACCGUCUUGUGCGCGAUUACUAAAGUUGCCGGCAGCAAAUUCACUGAAUUCAGAGUGGAAAUGGAACAAAAAGGAGAAAGAGAAUGAAAGUCUGAAGCUGAGAUUGGAAAUAUCAGAGAACGAGCUGAAAGCUGUGCGAGGGUGUAUAAACGCUGCAGAUGCAGACAUUAAACAACCUUUAAUAUUUCAAGAUCCCAAAGAGAGCCACGCUAUCCCUGAAUCUGAAGCACAGGAGUGGCCAAAGAUAGAAGCAGCUUACACACAAGAGGAGUCCUUUGAGCAGGAGUGGUGUGCAAGUCUAAUGCAGGUUACAGAGCUGGCAUGUGUUAAAGAUGAAGAGGUCCCUCAACAGGAAUGUGUUCCUAUUAAAGAGGAAUUCAUAGAGCAGGAAUGUGUCCCCAUCGCAGAGGAACUUCCCCAUGAAAAUCAUGUCUGUACACUUGAGGAGAACAACAAGCUGGGAUCCAACCUGUGUGAUGACUCUCUAUCUGAAUGUGAACUGGGAUUCAGAGGUAAUCCUACAAAACAAGCAGCAUUGAGCUGCCUGUUCAUCCUGCAGAACCUGGUACUGAACACCAGCAGUGUGCUUGAGAUUCAUAUUUUAACCAAGGGGAGCUGCCCAGCCACUAUGUCAACAAGGACAUCACUGUGCUUGCUUCUGAGGCACCUGCUAGAUGUGCAGCCGCUGCCACGCCUCUUUAGAAUGCUGUUAGAUCAGCGGUGUCCAAUCACGGUCCUGGAGGCCAUUCCGCUCCACAUUGAACAGACUCAGUUAUAUAAAGUGAUACUCCUGUGUCUGGAUGGACACCCCUGUGUUAGAUCUUUGCCUUCCCUCAUUCCUGGUAGACUGUUUGCAGUUGUGCUGCUCCCACAGCUUUACAGAGCUGCAGGGAUCACGUGUCCCAUCACUGGGUGAUGCCAAAUCCAGUCGGGUUCCUCAGCGUCACCAGAAGAAACAUUUCAGUAGAGAGUUCCUGUGGAGAAUGUAUGCAGCAGGAUCGCCAAAAUUAGUCUUAUUUUAUUUCAUUUUUAAAAGCUCAUCUCAUGGCAACUAUCCUGAGGACUGUAAUGUUUGCUCGCAACACCACAUUUCACUUUUGUGUGUCUCACACUUCUAAAGUAGAUGAAGGAGAACACGACUCCACUCUAUCACCCCAGUGCAAAAACUCUUCUAGAGGCAAACCACAGUGCAAGAAACACAGAGAAACGACACCCCAAGAAGAGUAUGUGAAGACAUUGAGAACUCACUCAGUUAAAAUCCCUUCUUUACAGGACAGUCACCCACUUACUGUGGAGAGUACAGAGACGGCACAUUCUGUGUGUUUUAACAAUUCUGAAACCCAGGGCAACUUGAAGACCUUGCCUCAUUCUAUUGAAGGUGGGAAGAGUUCCUGUCAAUUAGACGCUCCUGAAACUCACAAGGGAAAUCCCACAGGAGGGACUACGUUUUCCUGGGCUGAUUGUGGGAAGAGUUUCAAUCAUAUAUCACUGCUUAAAAGACACCAGCGCAUUCACACAGGAGAGAAACCUUCCCACAUACAGACCAGUGAUAAGAGUUUCACACAGUUAGGAAAUCUUCAUUCACACCAGCACAUUCACAUAAGAGAGAAACCUUAUCACUGUACUGAGUGUGGGAAGAGAUUAAGUAAUUUAGGAAACCUUAAAAUCCACCAGCGCAUUCACACAGGAGAGAAACCUUAUCACUGUGCUGUUUGUGGGAAGAGAUUCAACCAGUUAGGACACCUUAAAAGACACCAUAACAUUCACAUAGGUGUGUAAUCCUAUCCCUGCACUUAGUGUGAAGAAGUGAAGUCAGUUGCAGACUCUUACAGGACUAGAGAACAUUCUCAGAAAUGCAGACACUUGGGGACAACUAAACAACAGGAGUGCAUUUGACUAAAUACAGAAAUAUUAACUGAAAACAGAAGUGGCUUGAUAAAUCUGGUCACCCCUAAUCACAAUUUGUUCAGAUCAAAAACUCACCAAAAUCUGUGUUCAUCAUGUUGUUGAGCAUUCUGAUUGUGUUACAUCACAUUAGUAAUAUAUUAAAUAGAUUGUUAUUAUGAGUACAAGUUUCUCUUUUUCCUCCUGCACUGCUCAGCCUCUUGCAGUGUUUUGUGUGGAAUCUUCCCUGAUACCAUGGUGAAUCUGCGGUACCUCAAGACGCAGCACAGUAUACCACAGUUAUCAUGCGGGCAGCUUGAAGUGUAAAAUCAAUACUGUUUCCAGCAGGGUGCACCAGAGAGCUUUUAGCACUUUAAUGGGCUGCAUACCAUUGCUUCUUAACAAGGUGAUUUCUGCUCCCGAUGUGUUGAAUACUCCCCUCUCUCUCUAGUACUUGUCUCUGCUGUGCUUGAAAGAGUGACUACAGUUAACUUCAACUUUUUAAAACCUUUAGUCUCCUCUAGUCUUUUUUUUUUGUUCCAGACUGAAUAGAUUUAGUUCCCUCAACUGUUCUCUCAGCAUAUUUAGGGUUGGUUGAGUGUACAAGGAAAACAACUGACUCUGGAGAGGAGUUACCAAUCAAUGCCAGCACACUGGAGAUCCAGAAUUCAGAACACAGAACCAGGGAGGACAUCCGGCCCAUCAGUGCAGCAGCUGAUUGAUCUCAAAACUGUUAAGUAGGGUCUUAAAGGAUCCCAGCCCUAGCAACAUGACUUGGUAACCCAUUCCAUCCCCUCACCACACUCUGUGAGAAGGUGUCUCCUACCCUCUGUCCUAUGGCUAUCCACACUUAAUUUCCAGCAGUGUCCUCUGGCCCUGGUGUCAGUGCUAUGCUUGAGGUAUUAGUUUGGGUUAAUUUUAAGCCCUGGGAUUAGUCUUCACCUUUAUGAUUGCUUCCCCGUUGCUGGUAGAAAUGAGUCUAUCACAACACCAAGGUCUUUCUCUCAUACCCACUGGGUAUUUCAAUCCUACAUUUUUCCUUCUAAAAAGAGACUUAGUAAUACAAUCGUGAAAUGUUUCAAUAAGAAACAUGCACUCCACACCGUACAGCAGCUGACUGAUUUGCUAAUGAAAGAAGCAGCUCAACCACAACACCUGGUAUAAUGAACAUGUUUGUGAGCUGAGUGUUUGCAGUACUGUACUGUAGAAAUGAAAUUCCAGAGAAUGCUUCAUUUUGCAUGACUGAUAACUAAUCAUUCUAUUGCCUUUAAUACUGUAUAUGGGGCCACCUGUCUGCACCUGCUGAUCCCAGCACUGAUCCUGCACUGUGUUAAGAGAACAAUGGAGAUCACUGACACUGUGUCAAUAGAUUUGGAUCAUAGGGUAUAGAGGAAAUAGUUUUCAAGUGAAGUAUGGAAAUUUGGAAGAGGAGGGCAUCACACAGUAUCACAGUGUAGAGAAAGAAAGGGUCCUUGAUGAGGGUUUAGUGGUGAAGGAGUGCAUUUGCCUGGGAGAGGGUAUAAAACAGAGCAGGGUGGAGGGACCAGAGCAGCUGAAGAGUGGAAAAGCAGCAUCAGCACCUUGUCAAGAUGAAAGCCUGGACUACAAGAGCCAUUCUCCUCUCUGUCCUGACAGCAUUGCUUCUGUCAGGGGCUGAUGCAAGGAGCCUCCUUGAGGACUCUGAAGAGCUGGGAGAUGAUGAUUACCAGGCCAGCAAGAGAGAACUGGAUCUCAGCAACACUUUGGAAGACUCAGAGGAGCAGGAAGGAGCACUGGAGAACAGGAGAGCGCUGGAGGCAGAGGAUUCAGGCGACAGUGAUGCUGAACUGGACAGUGAUGGACUCAAAGGAGAGCGGGAGUUGGGUGAGUCCUUUGAAAAGCACGUCUGGGUAGUGUGUGGGUACAACGUUAAACCUUCAAGAGGAACACAUU